rnacentral:rRNA from 1 species
ACACAUGCAAGUCGAACGAGAAUCUACUGAAAGAGUUUUCGGACAAUGGAAGUAGAGGAAAGUGGCGGACGGGUGAGUAACGCGUGAGGAACCUGCCUUGAAGAGGGGGACAACAGUUGGAAACGACUGCUAAUACCGCAUGAAGCAUAGGGGUCGCAUGAUUCUUAUGCCAAAGAUUUAUCGCUUCAAGAUGGCCUCGCGUCUGAUUAGCUAGUUGGCGGGGUAACGGCCCACCAAGGCGACGACCAGUAGCCGGACUGAGAGGUUGAACGGCCACAUUGGGACUGAGAUACGGCCCAGACUCCUACGGGAGGCAGCAGUGGGGAAUAUUGGGCAAUGGGCGCAAGCCUGACCCAGCAACGCCGCGUGAAGGAAGAAGGCUUUCGGGUUGUAAACUUCUUUUAAGAGGGAAGAGCAGAAGACGGUACCUCUAGAAUAAGCCACGGCUAACUACGUGCCAGCAGCCGCGGUAAUACGUAGGUGGCAAGCGUUGUCCGGAUUUACUGGGUGUAAAGGGCGUGCAGCCGGGUCUGCAAGUCAGAUGUGAAAUCCAUGGGCUCAACCCAUGAACUGCAUUUGAAACUGUAGAUCUUGAGUGUCGGAGGGGCAAUCGGAAUUCCUAGUGUAGCGGUGAAAUGCGUAGAUAUUAGGAGGAACACCAGUGGCGAAGGCGGAUUGCUGGACGAUAACUGACGGUGAGGCGCGAAAGUGUGGGGAGCAAACAGGAUUAGAUACCCUGGUAGUCCACACUGUAAACGAUGAAUACUAGGUGUGCGGGGACUGACCCCCUGCGUGCCGCAGUAAA